rnacentral:rRNA from 1 species
CCUACGGGCGGCAGCAGUAGGGAAUAUUGCGCAAUGGGCGAAAGCCUGACGCAGCAACGCCGCGUGAACGAGACGCGCUUCGGGGUGUAUAGUUCUGUCUGUGGGGACGAAAAAUGACGGUACCCACAGAGGAAUCACCGGCUAACUCCGUGAAAGCAGCCGCGGUGAUACGGCGGGUGCAAGCGUUGUCCGGAAUCAUUGGGCGUAAACAGUUCGUAGGCGGCAUGUAAAGUCAGGUGGUAAAGGCGCAGGCUCAACCUGUGUAUGGCAGGUGAUACCUGCAAGCUGGAGUGCGGUAGAGGUAAGGGGAAUUCCUGGUGUAGCGGUGAAAUGCAUAGAUAUCAGGAAGAACAGCGGUGGCGAAAGCGCUUUACUGGGCCGUAAUUGACGCUGAGGAACGAAAGCGAGGGUAGCGAAUGGGAUUAGAUACCCCAGUAGUC